UACGGAGGAUCCGAGCGUUAUCCGGAUUUAUUGGGUUUAAAGGGUGCGCAGGCGGGAGAUUAAGUCGGCGGUGAAAUUUUGCGGCUCAACUGUAAAAGUGCCUUCGAAACUGGUUUCCUUGAGUGUAGAUGAAGUAGGCGGAAUUUGUGGUGUAGCGGUGAAAUGCAUAGAUAUCACGAGGAACUCCGAUUGCGUAGGCAGCUUACUAAACUACUACUGACGCUCAGGCACGAAGGCGUGGGGAUCAAACAGGAUUAGAUACCCUGGUAGUCCCU
rnacentral:rRNA from 1 species